UGGGGAAUUUUGGACAAUGGGCGCAAGCCUGAUCCAGCCAUGCCGCGUGAGUGAUGAAGGCCCUAGGGUUGUAAAGCUCUUUCACCGGUGAAGAUAACGACGGUAACCGGAGAAGAUGCCCCGGCUUACUUCGUGCCAGCAGCCGCGGUAAUACGAAGGGGGCUAGCGUUGUUCGGAUUUACUGGGCGUAAAGCGCACGUAGGCGGACGUUUAAUUCAGGGGUGAAAUCCCGGGGCUCAACCCCGGAACUGCCUUUGAUACUGGAAGUCUUGAGUAUGGGAGAGGUGAGUGGAAUUCCGAGUGUAGAGGUGAAAUUCGUAGAUAUUCGGAGGGAAACCAGUGGCGAAGGCGGCUCACUGGACCAUUACUGACGCUGAGGUGCGAAAGCGUGGGGAGCAAACAGG
rnacentral:rRNA from 1 species